AUGUUGUGGUUCAGUGGUAGAGCACUUGCCUAGCAUGCACUAGGCACUGGGUUCGAUCCUCAGCACCACAUA
rnacentral:tRNA from 1 species